GACAGAGGGUGCAACCGUUGUUCGGAAUUACUGGGCGUAAAGCGCGUGUAGGCGGCAGGGCAUGUCGGAUGUGAAAUCCCGUGGCUCAACCACGGAAGUGCACCCGAAACUGCCCAGCUUGAGUCUCGGAGAGGAAGGCGGAAUGCUUGGUGUAGAGGUGAAAUUCGUAGAUAUCAAGCGGAACACCGGUGGCGAAGGCGGCCUUCUGGACGAUGACUGACGCUGAGACGCGAAAGCGUGGGGAG
rnacentral:rRNA from 1 species